rnacentral:rRNA from 1 species
GAUGAACGCUGGCGGCGUGCCUAAUACAUGCAAGUCGAGCGGCAGCACGGUCUUCGGACUGGUGGCGAGCGGCGGACGGCUGAGUAACGCGUAGGAAUAUACCCCAAAGUGAGGGAUAACUGCCCGAAAGGGUGGCUAAUACCGCAUGUGGUCUUCGGACUAAAGCCUUCGGGCGCUUUGGGAAUAGCCUGCGUAAGAUUAGCUAGUUGGUGAGGUAAUGGCUCACCAAGGCGACGAUCUUUAGCUGGUCUGAGAGGAUGACCAGCCAGACUGGAACUGAGACACGGUCCAGACUCCUACGGGAGGCAGCAGUAGGGAAUUUUCCACAAUGGGCGAAAGCCUGAUGGAGCAACGCCGCGUGCAGGAUGAAGGCCCUCGGGUCGUAAACUGCUUUUAUGUGCGAAGAAUAUGACGGUAACACAUGAAUAAGGGUCGGCUAACUACGUGCCAGCAGCCGCGGUAAU